rnacentral:rRNA from 1 species
AGUAGUUUGACUCCGUGGCUCAAGAACGAACGCUGGCGGCAGGCUUAACACAUGCAAGUCGAACGCCCCGCAAGGGGAGUGGCAGACGGGUGAGUAACGCGUGGGAAUCUACCUUUGCUACGGGAUAGCUCCGGGAAACUGGAAUUAAUACCGUAUGUGCCCUUCGGGGGAAAGAUUUAUCGGCAAAGGAUGAGCCCGCGUUGGAUUAGCUAGUUGGUGGGGUAAAGGCCUACCAAGACGACGAUCCAUAGCUGGUCUAAGAGGAUGAUCAGCCGCAUUGGGACUGAGACACGGCCCAAACUCCUACGGGAGGCAGCAGUGGGGAAUAUUGGACAAUGGGCGCAAGCCUGAUCCAGCCAUGCCGCGUGAGUGAUGAAGGCCCUAGGGUUGUAAAGCUCUUUCAGUGGGGACGAUAAUGACGGUACCCACAGAAGAAGCCCCGGCUAACUUCGUG